GUCUUGACGCUUUAUGGAUGUGAGAUUGUUCUCCUUCACGAUCAUUUCAAGACCCCCAAAAGAAAGCUGUGCUGUCUUCAGCUCUUGGGCUCUGGGCAGCCCAGGUUCCCUUCAGUGACACCUGAUGCCGGUCAGGCCGGCUCCACUGGCCACCUCAAGCUAGACAGGAAAGAGGUAAAACAGAUUUGGGUGAAGACAGAUGAUUGGCCCCUGCUACUAAGCCAUGCCUGCCGACUGUGGAUUCUGAGCAAGAGCUAUGGAGGGUGAGCGUGGUCCACAUAGAAGCCUGGAGAAGAAUGAAAGGAACAGACGUGCAAGUCCUCCCACCACAUCAGUCUGGGCGAAGAGGCUGGUGUGAAAUGCGCUUCUGAGUGUGAGCAAUUUUGUCUGAUGGGGCAAUGCCAUUGUGUUACUUAGAAUAACCUUGAGGACAUUCUAUUACAAUUCCCUUUACUUUGUUCUGUUUGUUUGUUUUUUAAGUAGGCUCCAUGCCCAGCGUGGAACCGGAUAUGGGGCUUGAACCCAAGGACCCUGAGAUCGAAAGUCAGAUGCUUAAUUGCCUGAGCCACUCGGCACCUUGAUUCCCUUUACUCUGAAUGAAGGUGAAUAAUGAAUGUGUAACUAAACUAU
rnacentral:lncRNA from 1 species